GUCUUCAAAGUAAGAGAAAAAACACAACUUCAACAGCAAGCAAUGUAAAUUAACAUCUUCAACCUGCCUUCAAGUAUUUCUCCAUGUAUGGACCUCAGGAAAUGACAGAUUAACCGAAUGAACCAGACUUUCUGUGGGAAAUUUAACAUACAAUUAAAAUGCAGAUUCCUGAGCCACACCUCAGAUCUACUGGAUCAGAAGCUUUGAGGAGGAAGGGACCACAUGCCCUUCAGCUGAGCAAAGGCUAGAUGGAGGAAAGGGUCAGUGAACAGAAGACAGAGGCCAACUGUGUUUCCAAUUACGUCUCGGGAGGAAGCCAGAGACUCUAGAACAUUGUUCUCCACAAGAACCUUGAAAGGACGUUUGCAAGCUCUAUAAGUUUGUUUUAUUUUUUUCUCCUCAGAUAAGAAAUGGCAUCCCUGCUUCAACCAGACUUGUUGCCAAGAUGAAGCUGGCUUACCAUGCCCGCAGAGUCUAUUAAACCUCUUAUUUCACCAACGAGGGGAGUCCCAGACAUGUGGCUUCAUGAGUACCAUCAGAUGCAUUCCGUAUUCCUUCGUGAAGAAGUAAAGCUGUUGACUGGAUGUGCUAAGCCUACCUCCUGCCUUAUCUACAGCUCCUUCCAAGGAAGUUCACCACAUGCCAGUUAUGCAGACCUCUAAGACUUCAUUUCCUCACCUGUAAACUGGAAAUAAUCAGAGAACAACCUCAUGAGUUGAUUAAGUAAAUGUGAAUGUGAAUUAAAUGAAUACUGAUUAAAUGAA